AAUGAUUCUAUGAUUUUGACUUUGCUGAAAGGUGAUCUUCAAUGCCCUCCUGAGACAGCCCGAGUUGUGCUGACACCAGACUGCACCAACCACACAGGAGUAUCACUCAUCCUGGACCGUCAACCACUUGUGCCAAAGAAAUGACAAUCUUUGGUCUGCCCAGGCAGUUUACAGUAUGGGCAGGCCUGGAUGUGAACGAACAGGGAGACAGAAUUAGCAUCAUAAACAACAAACACUGGUCUUCAAGAAAGCUUUUCAUAGACAUCAUAGCAGAAGAGAUUUUUAGAGAUCAUGUAAUCAUACACUGGUUUGGGUUUGAAGGGACCUUAAAUACCAUCUAGUUCCAACCCCCUGCCAUGGUUCCACUAGCCCAUGUUUCUCAAAGCCCCGUCCAACCUGGCCUUGAACACUGCCAGGGAUGGGGCACCCACAGAUUCUCUUGGGCAACCUGUGCCAGUGCCUCACCACCCUCAUAGUGAAGAUAAUUAAUUGGCAAAUGUUUAUAGGAGUCUCCUUGCAAGGACAAGAGGGUAAAUGGUAGAGGAGAGAGCUGUGCAAACUAAAAAUGGGUGAUGAUAGAGAUUGCCAACGGAUCCCUAAGCUACAGGGUUGGGGCAGAUCAUGUAUGUGAUACCAAAUGAAAUCUCUGUCUCAAGUUGCAUGGAAAUUCCACAUUCACAUUAACAUCCACAAAGCAAUGGAGCAGAUCCAUAAGUGUAUCUCAGAUUUCAAAGGAAAUACAAGACCUGCAGAUGUGGGAAAAGAUGCUUUCUCACAGAAGGCACCUGGCUUUAAGGAGAACAAAUUGCUAAGGUCACUGUGUAUGCCUAGAUGGAAAACAGGACUUCUUGGAGAUGAAGGUACGAGUCAAAGGAUGUGGUGUCAGGAAUGCAAGGUCACCUGGACCUCCAGAGGCAACAAAGAAUCUGGAUGCAGUGGAUGAAAGGAUGCCUUUGCGAUUCAUGGUGUUUGGGAUGAAAGAGCUGAAGCAGGAGGACACAGCCCUGCAGCCAGUUUGGGCGAGGAGGCCCGUCAGGUCCUUCCCCACACUGUGGAGGCAGUUGUCUUCCAAGCCUAGGCUGUGAGCCUUGCUCAGCUACCUUACAGCAAAGCAAGCAAUGUACUUGUAUUUUAGUGACUCUUACACAGACCUGGAGUCAAAACCAGUGUCUUCAGUGAAACUGUGCAUCUUCAGAACUCUAAUACUGAACCACAUGGCUUUCAAAACCCAAGAUCUUUGUUAAACAAGAUGCCCUUUUCCACAAGCAUAAACUGAAGAGCUCCCUGAAAACUUUUGAAACCUUUUUUUUUUUUCUCCUGAGUUCAAAAGUUCUGUUAAAGAAGGAAGGUUUUUCCAAAUCCUACCAGGUGGUGUUUCCCUAACACACUGAAAAGUCCAUUUUGCCCCAUGAACUUAUUCUCUUGUCUCUUUUUCAAGAUUUUUUUCCUUGACAGUUUUCCUUAGGUAAAUGUCAUUUUACCAUUGCACAGUUAAGGGGGGUGGGGGGAGUACUUCAGACAGGUCAUACUGGAACAAUAAAAGCUUGAAAAAA